GGAGCAUGUGGUUUAAUUCGAUGAUACGCGAGGAACCUUACCAAGACUUAAAUGGGAAUUGACAGGUUUAGAAAUAGACUCUCCUUCGGGCAAUUUUCAAGGUGCUGCAUGGUUGUCGUCAGCUCGUGCCGUGAGGUGUUAGGUUAAGUCCUGCAACGAGCGCAACCCCUGUCACUAGUUGCUAACAUUCAGUUGAGGACUCUAGUGAGACUGCCUACGCAAGUAGAGAGGAAGGUGGGGAUGACGUCAAAUCAUCACGGCCCUUACGUCUUGGGCCACACACGUAAUACAAUGGCCGGUACAGAGGGCAGCUACACAGCGAUGUGAUGCAAAUCUCGAAAGCCGGUCUCAGUUCGGAUUGGAGUCUGCAACUCGACUCUANGAA
rnacentral:rRNA from 1 species